CCGCGGUCUCUGCCACUGCGGGGUGCGGUCCAGCUGCAGCCUAGCAACCAUCAGUAGGGUAAGAAAAAAAGGGGAAGACAGAUGCCUCGCCAGGUGGACAGUUUAAGCACAAGUGGAAUAACUUGGUGUUCUGUAAGAGUAAAUCUUGACAUGAAUGAUCUGAUAAUGGAGAGGAGAGGACUGUUCACAAUUAGUUCUCAACAAGUGGACAUAAAAGUCCAACGUUGCGUGAAUUGGUGUCUUUGGAUGGUUAGUUUUCAAUCAGAACCUAAAAGAACUCUGACAGUUGGGUUUAGGCCCAACUUGGCAUGUUGCCCAUUGUCACGACGAUCGAUUAGAAGAAAAAUGACGACCGGAAACGUCAAGUUGCGGAAAUGAUAACAGUUGUGGGUUUCAGUAACGCACAGAGUACGAAGUAACCAAACACACAUUCAUUAUGGUGUGAUGAGGUCUUCAUAUGUUUCACUAACAGUCCCUUCUCUGUCCUGUUUGUGGCAGUAACCAAGUUCCAUAAUCUACAGAGGGGGCAAGUGGAAAACCCUGUUCCAGUUGACACCUGGCCCCAGGAAAAGUUUAGUGACUAGGUACCCAGACCCGAUAUUCGGCCAAAUUUAACUACCCACAUCUAAAUAUUUACACAGACAUAGCAUCUUAAUCUAUCCAUACUGUCCUAAAGAGUUUUUCUUACCAUUUCUUUGAUCUUGUCCCAUUCUGUACACUGAUAGUUACUUGCUUCACUUGGUAAAUUAAACAACCUUAAGCAGUUAUCUU